AUGAUUGAAGUUUUUCUAUUUGGAAUCGUCUUAGGCCUAAUUCCUAUUACUUUAGCGGGAUUAUUCGUGACUGCGUAUUUGCAAGCUGCAGGGAUUACAAAAAGAGGGUGCUUUCCUGUGUUGCAUUGA
rnacentral:rRNA from 1 species